AGCGAACGCUGGCGGCAGGCCUAACACAUGCAAGUCGAACGGACCCUUCGGGGUUAGUGGCGGACGGGUGAGUAACACGUGGGAACGUGCCUUUAGGUUCGGAAUAGCUCCUGGAAACGGGUGGUAAUGCCGAAUGUGCCCUUCGGGGAAAAGAUUUAUCGCCUUUAGAGCGGCCCGCGUCUGAUUAGCUAGUUGGUGAGGUAAUGGCUCACCAAGGCGACGAUCAGUAGCUGGUCUGAGAGGAUGACCAGCCACAUUGGGACUGAGACACGGCCCAAACUCCUACGGGAGGCAGCAGGGGGGAAUCUUGCGCAAUGGGCGAAAGCCUGACGCAGCCAUGCCGCGUGGAUGAUGAAGGUCUUAGGAUUGUAAAAUCCUUUCACCGGUGAAGAUAAUGACUGUAGCCGGAGAAGAAGCCCCGGCUAACUUCGUGCCAGCCGCCGCAGUAAUAU
rnacentral:rRNA from 1 species